AUAUUUCAGAAUUUAUAACACUUGCUAAGUAUAGUAAUUAUGCGAACUAGAGGGGAGGUGAAUGUUUCGUGAGCCCACAUCACUAUAAGCCCUCCCCUGUAACAAAACCCACUCUAGCCUCGGAUUUGCUUGACACUCCAUUGAAGAAGACGCAGAUCUUCGUGAAAACCCUAACAGGGAAGACCAUAACCCUUGAGGUUGAAUCCAGCGAUACGAUCGACAAUGUCAAAGCGAAGAUUCAGGACAAGGAAGGUAUUCCACCGGACCAGCAGCGACUGAUCUUUGCUGGUAAACAGCUUGAAGAUGGGCGUACACUGGCGGAUUAUAAUAUUCAAAAAGAAUCGACUCUGCAUCUUGUCCUGAGGCUCCGGGGUGGGAUCAUUGAACCGUCUCUUAUGGCCUUGGCCAGGAAAUACAACCAAGAGAAGAUGAUUUGCCGCAAGUGCUAUGCCCGUUUGCACCCACGUGCUGUGAACUGCAGGAAGAAGAAAUGCGGUCACAGCAAUCAGUUGAGGCCAAAGAAGAAGAUCAAGUAGACAGUCGGUUGCAUUUCAUGUGGAGAUGUUAUGCCUAUUGCAUGAUUUUGUAGUUCUUUUGCUUAGCUCACAUUUUGCUGGAUCUAUUGUUGUCUGUUUAACUGUGGUACAACAUUCGUUUAGACUCCAGUUCCAUUUACAAAAAGAAUUUAUUGCUCUUUCGAGUUUG
rnacentral:misc_RNA from 1 species